UAUUUUGAAUGUGUGAGUUGGGGGAAGGGAAAGAAACUAGACAGUGGUGCACAGUUGUCUCCCACAUAAAGAAAAUCAGUUAUUUUAGAUAUUAGAGUUUAACCUUUCCUGUUCCAUUCUUGUUGAAUGGAAAUGUCUUUCCACAGGCACACAUGUUUGUACACAUCCAUCUCAUGGGCUGUUUAGGAAACGUCCUGGAACCUUUAGAAGGCAGAUGUCACUAGGGGUUGGCCUUGAGGCUUUAAAGUCUGGUCUUACUUGCUGUUUACUCCCCAUUUCCUGAAAUUGGAUGUAAUGUAACCAACCAGUCUCCCGCUCCUGGUAUAUUUUCUUCUUUCCUGCAAUGCCGCUUCAGCCAUGAUGGAUUCUACUCCCCAGGAACGCAGCCAACACUGGAAUCCUGAAGAUGUGGACAUGAAAAGAUUAGUAAAAGAUGAAUUCAAACGAAGUAAACUCCAAAUGAAAUAUAUGUAAGAUGAAUUCUAUUUUUCUGAUGUAAAUGGCUUUCACAAGGGUGAGUGCGCAUGUGCACGUGCACGCACAUGAACACACACUUAAACACACAGAUUCACACAGACACACAGAGACACACAGAGACACAGACACAGACACAGACACACACAGACACACACAGACACACACAGACACACACAGACACACACACACACACACAGACACACACCAGAAACAAGAGGUCUUUGCAGCAUCCUUGGAAGGAUAUUUCUGAUCUUGGACCAUAGUGUUUUUGUAGCCUACUUCUAAUCCCUGAUUCCGAGUGCCCCCUCUUAACCUACAUCACACGGAAGGGAUUACUGGUGCCCUGACCUCAUAACUUAAUUUUCUGCCUUUUUUUCCCUUUUGGAUUAUGAAUGCCUACUGGAGUUAGGUUGCAAUAACAUAAUUUGUCACUGUCUAACAUGCAGUGUUUGAGGCUUU
rnacentral:lncRNA from 1 species